UACGUAGGCAGCAAGCGUUGUUCGGAGUUACUGGGCGUAAAGGGGUGUGUAGGCGGUCUUCUAAGUUUGGUGUGAAAUCUCCCGGCUCAACUGGGAGGGUGCGCCGAAAACUGGGAGGCUAGAGUGCGGGGAUGGGGAGAGUGGAAUUCCUGGUGUAGCGGUGAAAUGCGUAGAUAUCAGGAGGAACACCUGUGGUGUAGACGGCUCUCUGGACCGCAACUGACGCUGAGACACGAAAGCGUGGGGAGCGAACAGG
rnacentral:rRNA from 1 species